GCCGGGAUGGCCGAGUGGUCUAAGGCGGUGCACUUAAGUGUCUCAGACAUGCACUAUCGAAAGAUGCGUGAGUUCGAACCUCACUUCCGGCA